GGCCCGUUAGCUCAUUGGUUAGAGCGUCGUGCUAAUAACUCAAAGGUCGCGGGUUCGAUCCCCUCACGGGCCG
rnacentral:tRNA from 1 species